UACGAAGGGGGCUAGCGUUGUUCGGAAUCACUGGGCGUAAAGCGCACGUAGGCGGACUUUCAAGUCAGGGGUGAAAUCCCGGGGCUCAACCUCGGAAUUGCCUUUGAUACUGUAAGUCUCGAGUCCGGAAGAGGUGGGUGGAAUUCCUAGUGUAGAGGUGAAAUUCGUAGAUAUCAGGAAGAACACCCGUGGCGAAGGCGGCUCUCUGGGACGGUACUGACGCUGAGACGCGAAAGCGUGGGGAGCGAACAGG
rnacentral:rRNA from 1 species